rnacentral:lncRNA from 1 species
UUCCCUGAAAUAACUCUUUUCAAAGUACCAUGUAUGUACAAUUAUUUUUUAAAUGAAAGUAUAAGACAUACUGAUGACAACUAAGGAUAUGAAAAGAUGCUCAGUGUCAUCUGUCAUUAGAGAAUUGUAAACAGUGAAGCUACCCUGGGAAGCUGUAGAGAGGUUUCUCAAAAAGUCAAAAUAGAACUACCCUAUGACCCAGCAAUUACACUAUUAGGUAUUUACCCAAGGGAUACAAAAAUAGUGAUUCAAAGGGGCACAUGUACCAUAAUGUUUAUCACAGUAUUAUCAACAAUUGCCAAAUUAUGAAAAGAGCCCAAAUAUCCAUCAACUGAUAAAUGGACAAAGAAGAUGUGGUAUAAACACACACACACCACAUUUAUAUACAUAUAUAUGUGUGUAUAUAUACACAUACACAAAUACAUACAAUGGAAUAAUAUUACUUAGCCAUCAAAAAGAAUGAAAUUUUGUCAUUUGCAACAACAUAGAUGUCUCUAGAGUAUAUUAUGCUAAGCAAAAUAAGUCAGAGAAAGACAAAUACCAUAUGAUUUCACCCAUAUGCGGAAUUUAGGAAACAAAAGAGAUGAACAUAAGGGAAAGAAGAAAAGAAAGAGAGGCAAACUAUAGAGAACAAAAGAAUUGCUGGAGGGAGGUGGGCAGGGGAUGGGCUAACUGGGUAAUGGGGAUUAAGGAGAGACCUUGUGAUGAGCACUUUAAGUGAUGUAAGUGAUGAAUCAUUAAAUUCUACUUCUGAAACCAAUAUUAUACUGUAUGUUAACCAAGUAGAAUUUAAUUUAAAAUUUGAAACAAAAAGAGAAUUGCCAAUCACAACAAUGAGAUACUGUUACACAUCUAUGAAAAUGGCUAGAAUAAAAAAAAAAAAACUGACAAUGCCAAAUACUAACAAGGACAUGGAGCAAUGAAAAAUGGUACAGCCACUUGGGAAUACAGUUUGGCAAUUUCUUACAAAGUUACUUAUGAAGUAAUAUAGUCUUAUCAAAUGAUCUAGCAAUCAUACUCCUAGGUAUUUAUCUAAUUAUUUUGAAAACUUAUGUCCAUGGGACUGUUUAUAUAUAGCAGCUUUUUUUAAAGAUUUUUAUUUUAUUUGUUCAUGAGAGACACAUAGAGAGGGGCAGAGACAUAGACAGAGGGAAAAACAGGCUCCUCACAGGAAGCCCAUUGUGGGACUCAAUCCCCGGACCAGGGAUCAUGCCCUGAGCCGAAGGCAGACACUAAACUACUGAGCCACCCCAGCAUCCCUAUAUAUAGCAGCUUUAUUCUUAAUCACCAAAAUCUGGAAUCAAUCAAUUGUCCUUCAGUAGGUAGAUAAACAAACUGGUGAAUCUAUAUAAUGGAAUAUUAUUCAGCAGGAAAAAAGCUACUAAGCCACAAUAAAAGAUAGGGAGGAAACAUAAAUAUGUAUUGCUAAGUGAUAGAGGCCUUUGUGAAAAAACUACAUACUGCAUGAUUCCAACUAUAUGACAUUCUUGAAAUGUCAAAACUAUGGAGACAUUAAAAAAUCGAUGGUUAUUUGGGGCUUGGGGAGAGAGAGGAAGGAUAAAUAGGUGAAACAGGAUUCUUAGGGUGGAGAAAUUAUUCCAUUUGAUAUUGUAAUGGUGGAUAUAUGACACUAUAUAUUUGCCAAACCCCAUAGAACUCUAUAGCACAAAGAGUGAAACUUAAUGUAUGCAAAUUUUAAAAAAAUAUUUAGAGGUCAGGGGAUCCUAGGAAGGAAUGAAUACUGUGAUUAACAGUCUAACUGUAUAAAAAGAUGUAUGGUACAAUCCCACUUAAAGGAAUAUAGGUGGUGUUGACCUAAGUAAUUGGAAAUGGAGUCUGUAAGACUGAAGGCAAAGGGAACUGCAUGUAGGUACUGUACUCUAGUUGAUGUUAUUCUUCACUAGGAUAUGGGUUAAUAAUUCUGAUACUGCUAUGUAUGUAUACUGGAAUUGAACAAUUAAGUAAAGCAGAUGGUAGGAGCAAGUUUCUCAUUGAGUUGUAAUUUAUAGAUAAGAGGAAGAAGAUAGAAUGAUCCAUGUGUGAUAAUGAAUUAGAGAAAUCAGCAUGAACUUGUAUAAAGUAGUUAGAUUUAUAUUUAUAGAUGUGUGCGUGCACAUUGGUUCUACACACACACACACAUUUUUUUUUCCUCUGUCAGAUGAAAGGAUUGAAUAGAAAUGACACCCCAGCAGCAAUGAGCACUCCUAACAAUGAGACUUUGCUUUUCAAUACUAUUCUCCAAUAAAAGAGACCAGAAAUCCUUGGAGAAAUGGCAGAUUCUAGGACUGGGGCAGGACAUAUUUGAGAGAACCUGAAGCAUCUUGUAGUGCCAGAAAAUAGGGAAGGGCUAAAAAAAAUUAAAAAGAAAAAACCACAUUGAUGACUUUAUGUUAAAGGGGCACAGGAACCAAAUGAAAGAGGUCCCAAUGGCCAAAGGUAGAACUUGAGCAACAAAAUAAAGGAGUAUUAGAUUAUAACUCAAAGUAUAAAAUAAAUAUCUGUGAGUUCACUUUGAUAUAAAUAAUUAUUUUUUAAAGAUUUUACUUAUUUAUUCAUGAGAGACACAGAGAGAGAGAGUCAGAGACACAGGCAGAGGGAGAUGCAGGCCCCAUGCAGGGAGCCUGAUGUGGGACUUGAUCCUAGGACUCCAGGAUCACGCCCUGGGCUAAAGGCAGGUGCCAAACCGCUGAGCCACCCAGGGAUCCCUGAUAUAAAUAAUUAAGUAAAUUAAUAAAUGAGGAAGAAGAGAUAAACUCUAGUACAUAAGAACUUCAAAUAAUUUAUGUAGCUAUUCAUCCUAAAAGAAAGGGAGCAUAACUCCCCAUUCCUUAAGUGUGGGUUGCACAUACAGACUUACUUUUAAAAAGCACAGCAUGGAACAUGAGGUAAAAGAGUAACUUUACAGUGGAGAAACCUGACAAGCACUACUUUAGCCAGGUGAUAAAGAUCAACAUUAAAUCAUAAAUCAUUUGAUAAUAUAUGCUCUUGAAAUUAUAUGAUGAUAAUGGUACUUUACCUCUGUGAUUUUUCUCCCCAGAACCCAUAACCCCAGGGUAAACAUGAGAAAAAACAUCAGACAAAUUCCAAUAGGGAAGCAUUUUAUACUAUAUCUGACUGGUACUCCUCAAGCCUGUCAGGAACAUCAAGUGGAAGGAAAAGUCUGAGAAACUGUCACAGCCAAGAAAGCCUAAGGAGACAUGACAACAAUGUAAUCAGGUACCUUGGAUGGGAUCCUGAAAUGAAAAAAGGAUAUUUAGGUAAAAAUAAAGAAUGAUAGGGGUGCCUGAGUGUCUCAGUUGGUUAAGCAUCUGCCUUUGGCUCAGGUCAUGAUCACAGGCUUCUUAGAUAGAGCCCUGCACUGGGCUCCUUGCUCAGCAGAGAGUCUACUUCUCCCUCAGCCCUCUUCCCCUGGCUAUGCUCUCUUCCUCUCUCUCUGUCAAAUAAGUAAAUAAAAUCUUUAAAAGGCAACAACAGCAAAAACCCCACAAAAAACCCUAAGGAAUUAUUAAUUCAAUCUAUAAAUUAUGGACUUUACUUAAUAAUGGGUCAAUACUGGUUUGUUAAUUGUAACAAAUGUAAUAUAUUAAUAACAGGGGAAACUAUGGAAAAAUAUAUAGAAUUCUCUGUAUUAUUUUUCUCAAUUUUCUUCUAAGACUGCCUUAAAAAAUGAAAAUGCAAUGAAAACAUUCCCAGAAAAGCAAAGAUGGAAAUAAUUUGCUUCUUAGAGACCUGUCUUACAAGAAAUAUAAAGAAGUCCUUCUGGCUGAGAGGAAAUGAUACUAGAGGAUAGCUCAAAUUCUCACAAAAAAUAUAGAACAACAAUUUAUGUAGGUAAA